rnacentral:rRNA from 1 species
UUACGGGAGGCAGCAGUGAGGAAUAUUGGACAAUGGGCGCAAGCCUGAUCCAGCCAUGCCGCGUGCAGGAUGACGGUCCUAUGGAUUGUAAACUGCUUUUAUACGAGAAGAAACAACUCUACGUGUAGAGUCUUGACGGUAUCGUAAGAAUAAGGACCGGCUAACUCCGUGCCAGCAGCCGCGGUAAUACGGAGGAUCCAAGCGUUAUCCGGAAUCAUUGGGUUUAAAGGGUCCGUAGGCGGUCAGAUAAGUCAGUGGUGAAAGCCCAUCGCUCAACGGUGGAACGGCCAUUGAUACUGUCUGACUUGAAUUAUUAGGAAGUAACUAGAAUAUGUAGUGUAGCGGUGAAAUGCUUAGAGAUUACAUGGAAUACCAAUUGCGAAGGCAGGUUACUACUAAUGGAUUGACGCUGAUGGACGAAAGCGUGGGUAGCGAACAGGAUUAGAUACCCUGGUAGU